GGACCCGGUCUUCGGACUGGGAGCGUACACAGGUGCUGCAUGGACUGUCGUCAGCUCGUGUCGUGAGAUGUUGGGUUAAGUCCCGCAACGAGCGCAACCCCUGCUGCCAGUUGCCAACGGGUGAAGCCGGGCACUCUGGCGGGACUGCCAUCGACAAGAUGGAGGAAGGUGGGAUGACGUCAAGUCAUCAUGGCCCUUAUGUCCAGGGCGACACACGUGCUACAAUGGCCGGCACAGCGGGAAGCGAGGCAGUGAUGCCGAGCGGAUCCCUUAAAGCCGGUACUCAGUUCGGAUUGAAGUCUGCAACUACGACUUCAUGAAGCUGGAAUCGCUAGUAAUCGCAGAUCAGCCAAGCUGCGGUGAAUACGUUCCCGGGCCUU
rnacentral:rRNA from 1 species